CGUAAACAGGUGAAAAACCCAACCAGGAAGUAAACAAUAAUGGCGAUGACUUCAAGAAAAAUAGUUUCUAAUGUUUUAAAACUAUUUCUUAUUUUCUUUAUUCAACAAACACUUUGUGAGAGACCCACCACUAGUUUAUCUUUAACCCAGAAGUUAUCGGAGGACAGGAAUGGGAUCCAUAUGAGAAGUGUCACCCCCACCAAGUCGUCAACUCAACAGCGAGGCCACAUACAGGUACUCAGUGCUGAGGCGGAUGGAGGCUGAGGGGCCAGGAGGGACGGAGGAGGAGGAGGACAGGCCCGGGCCCUACACACUGGGGGAGGACUCUGAUGAGGUUGGUGGACCUGGUCCUGUGUCCCUGUCAUCCUCCACGUCACUAUAGUGGUGUAGGGUGAAGUUGCCCCAGGACGCUGAUCUUGGGUCAGUUUUGCAUUUUCCCUACUGAUGGUUAAGGUUAGGAUUGGGGGAAGAGAAGCUGAUCCUAGAUUUGCAUCUUGGGGAAGCAUUACCCCUGAGCCACUAUAGUGUACUCCAGAACAGCUGUCUUAAUCAGGGGGUGGAGAAAAUUACAUUUUAGAGACUUGAAACGUUUUGGCAACACCUAAGUUAUACCAUAGGCUAUACGAGUACUUGGCUGCUAAACAUUUCAUAGGCCUAGCCUACUAUAUAUUUUUUUCAGGGCUUGUGGGUGUUUUUGCUGUGAUAAGAGAUCUAGUUGUGUCUUUCUUCUCUUUUCUCCCCUCCAACAGGAUAUGUUGGAGUGAAUCAUCACUCGGAUGACACUUCUCUGCGCUCAGGUUAGCUGAGGUCGACUGUGAAGUGUGUGUGUGUGCGUGCGUGCGUGCAUUCGCUAAGCUGUUAACCUCUUCUUCUCCUUGCACCCCUUCCAGUCUACAUGCUCCCGAAAUCCAGUUACAACAGUGCUAUUAUCCACUGAUGCUCGUUUUAAUUCAGGGAAUUGUUGUCAUGACAUGCGUACCUUAUUCUACACAUCUGGACUGUUAAUAAUAUUUUUAAUUGUAUAACCGAUACCAAUGGCUAGCAGAACAAAAUAAUCAUUCUUCACAAGUAUAGAAGCUGUGUCUGCACUGUAUACCGCAAUCAAAUCUUUCUAUUUGUUACUGACCUCUUCAAGCACUGUUUCAGUUGUUGAGUAUUGUUGUGUCAUCUUUAAGUAUUAUUCACACAUUUAAUGUAAAGUAUGUUAUACUAUGUUAACUUAACACAGCUGCCCAGGUUUUGUCUUUAAGACAAGCUGUUGUGCUUACGUCCUUUAAUUAUUGUUCUUGUUUGUCAUUUAGCAGACGCUCUUAUCCAGAGCGACUUACAGUAGUGAGUGUGUGUUUUUCGUUUUUUAUUUUCUUCUUUAUAUUAUAUAAACAUGUUGUAUAAAUGUAUUUCCCCCUGAGCAAAAAUGAAUAUGUCAAUCAAUCAAAUGUAUUUAUAAAGCCCUUCUUACAUCAGCUGAUGUCACAAAGUUCUGUACAGAAACCCAGUCUAAAACCCCAAACAGCAAGCAAUGCAGGUGUAGAAGCACGUGUUUGCAGUUCUGUUUUGUGUUUGCCGUUCUGCACUUUGACAUUAAAUAAUGUACAGUACCGCUACUGUGAGCUUCUUCAGUGCUUGUAAAUAAAGAGACACUCUGCUCAUCUGGCAUGAGGGACACGUCAUUAUCAACCACACCCCCACACCUGUGUAUGCUAAUCACAUAAACCAACAAUCCAAAGG
rnacentral:lncRNA from 1 species